rnacentral:tRNA from 1 species
UGUGGCAGAUUAGUGCAAUGGACUUAAGAUCCAUAUAUAAAUUAGRCCUUUCAUUAAAA